rnacentral:misc_RNA from 1 species
AUUAAACAAGAAAUAAACUCAAAAGGCUAAGUAUGUAAUGAUAAAGAUAUGCCAUUUUACGCAACUAUCAAUGGGACUAUCUCUCAUCAUCUUUUCGCUCACUUCAUUCAUUCAAAUCUCAUAAUUUGCACACAAGUAUUUUGGUCAUCAUGCCCAAAACAAGAAGUUUUUAUGAAAAAGAAGCUACAGGGCCAAAUCUUAAAAGAGUAGCCGAUGAAGCUAAACUUAAUGUCAAUCUCAAUCUCAAUAAGAACGAACUGACAACGAGUCACCCCCAGCACAAAAGGUGGCUCCAAUUGCAUUCAAUAUAGCUAGCAUUUUCGCUCAAAUUGCUCAACAAGUCAUGGAACAAAUUAAAGCCAGUAUCAAGGCUCCUUUUGAAGCUGGUUUCAAAUCUUUAUCUGUUCAACUGAAAUGGGUUAGCAAAAUGUCCAGGAAAAAUUCACUUGAAGCAAAAGGGCCAAGACUUCGAUAGUCAUAGUCAAUACCAUACAAAAAGGGCCAUCCGAAGAUUGAGAAUUCGACAACUGAAGUCCAAGACUUCAACAGCCAAAGUACGUGUUGCCUGACUUUUUUACCUUUUUUGUCUAAGGUUCUAAAACAUGGUUUCAUAGUUUCUAAAGGUCUAGAAUAAGAUAUUUAUUAUGUGUAUAGAGUUUAGAACCUUGUAAAACUUCUUAGGGCCCAAUGUUAUAAGAUCGGACUUGAGGGACUUGAAAAGUUAAGAAUCUGAGGACAGCUACCGUUCGAGUUAGGUGGUUUAUAGGUUACAAGAAGUGAGUAAUUCUAACCUUAAUAAAAGUGAACUUCUUAAAUUUAAUUUAUGAUCAUCCUUAUACAUUAUGUCAUAUUUGUUUAGGGUGUAUAUAUCUAGAACAUGAAUAUAUGCAUAUUUGCAUUAUUAUUGUUAGCACAUGAUGAAUUAUGGAUGACUCACUGACUCUCCCCAUAGUUAUAACUAUAUUAUGUUAUGUAUGUUAUGGAUACAUAAAAUUCAAGUGGAGAUCUUUACAAUGCCCUUGGUGCAUGACACGUAAUGUUUUAAGCAAAAAUCCUGAAUAGCCUCUGUAUGAGCCAAACACAUUAGAUAUAUUAAGCGAAAUUUCUAAAAAGCCUCUAUAUAAGCCGAGCACAUUAGAUUAGGGAGUCACUGGUGAUAAGUCCAUUCUAUGUAAAAUGUGAUACGGUUUCUCCUCUUAGUAGCUGAUUCCACUAAGAA